UCCGAUAUAGUCUAACGGUUAGGAUGCGGCGCUUUCAGGUGUUCCGUUCAAGGAGCUACCAGAGAUCCGCCGAGGCCGGGGUUCGAUUCCCCGUAUCGGAG